rnacentral:misc_RNA from 1 species
GAUGGAUGAGGAAGGGCCAAAGGUUGGACCAACAAAGCCAGCUGCAUGCCGGAUGUUGUCAGAAGAUCAACAGUGCAUGGGAUCUGAUUGAUUGUGCACCUCAUGUAGCGUGGACUGCAAUUCCCAGUGUCUCUAACAAUAUAAUCACUUGUAGCAGGCGGAGGGGGGUUAGCUUGAUUUCCCUGACGAGUAUCAUGCAGGAUAACAGAGGAACCUGGUACAGGUCGUGGAAUUUGAUUGGGAUCAAUCUUUGAUGAUCCUGCCAAAGAACCUCCUGUUUGUCCAACAACAGGAGAUAUAGCAGUCGUUUGAUUUGGUAAUGGUGGGGGUGGUGGCAUUCCAAACAUUGUGGGAGGUUGUGCAGAACCAGGAAUUGGAGUUGGAGCCACUGGCUGGGUUUUCAUCUGUUUAAAAGGAAAACCUACAGGUGGUGACAUCGCUUGAGGUGGUGCAGAAAAUGAUGGCAUUCCUUGCAGUGGUGCUGAAGAUGAUGGUGUCCCUUGAUGUGCUGCUGAAAAUGGAGGCCGUUGUUGAGCACUGAUCCCAGAACUCCCCAUUAAGGGACGCAUGCUUGGUGCUUGAGGAGGUACCCGAGCUCCCCCAAUUGUCAGAGGACCCAUCAGUGGUUGCUGUGGUGCACUGCCAGAUGGAGGAAACCGUGGCCCUCCAAGGAAAGGUGGUGCAGGUGGCCCGUUACUGACUAAACCACCCGUUGAGACUGAAGGGGGUACAGAUGAAGGUGUAGUGGAAGAUGCAA